AAAAAUAUUACAUACAUAUGUACAUAUGUACAUAAAUAUACAUAUAUAAAAAUAAGCACAUACGAGUACACGUCCGCGCACACAUAUUCAAGCAAUUGAAAACUAAUACGUAUACACACACGUACAUAUAAAUUUAUACAGAAAAUAUCUAUGCAAUGAUAUAUACACACAUAGACUCAUUAAACUUUGUUGAAAAACAUUUAAAAAAAAAAAAUAUAAUAAAAUGAAAACGCUUAAUAUGCCAAAAUGGAAUGAUAUCGAAAGAUAUUUUAAAGAUCCCGAGUUGAUUACUGCAGAAUUGCUAUUUGUUGCUUUAACCCUAUGCAAUGUUUUUGUUAUGUAUCGUUUAUUUUUGGAUGUUAUACCAUAUCCUAUAUUUGUAACAUGGUGGCAGUUAGCACAAGGAUUAUUAGUGGCAUAUGUAUGUGGUGAGUUAGGUCAUGAAUUUCCGAAGUUUGCAUAUUUUCCAAAAGUAGAAAUUAAUAUGAAUAUGUUAAAAGUUUUAUUUAUACCAUCUAUUUUUUAUUGUUUAAUGCUUGUAUUAUCAAAUUACGUAUUAUAUAAAAUACCAUGUAUAGCAUCCUAUCCAGUGCUUGUUAGUUUUACUGUUGUAUUUCAUCACCUUACUCGUUAUGUCGGAUGUGGAGAAGAGUAUAUGACACUAAGAUGGAAGUCAAUUGUUUUUUUAUUAGCUGCAUUUAUAAUAGGUUGUUUUGAUCCCAAAAUAACUGGAAAUGGAGUAAUUAUAUGGGCUUUGUUAUAUGCUUUAUUUUCAGCUAUAUUUAGAGCAGGUUUUAUGCAAAAAAUUAUGCAUUUGGUUGAAGGUAAAGGAAACACAUUACAUAAUAAUCAACAUCUUUUAGGAAUUACAUUACUGCCUAUAUUAAUUUUAAUAUCUGGAGAAUGGAAUAUAUUUUUAUACAUGCCAUACAAUAUUACAUCCUUACAAACUUGGCAAAUGUGGGGUUGUUUAAUAACAGUUGGUAUUUUACCUUUUUUAAAAAAUGUUAUAUCAAAUAGGUUAGUGAGAAGAACAGGUCAAGGCCCAUGGAGGUUUUUAGAAAUUUUAUCUAUUAUACUUGUUUUUCUUAUUGGUAUGAGUUUUAACACACCUUCGUUAAAAGGUUACAUUGCAAUAGUGUGUGUUAUUAUUGGAAGAUCUUUAGGCGCAUUUGAUGUAUUAUUAAACGCAUCUGAUUAUAUAGCCGAAGAUGAAAGAAAAAUAAAAAAUAUAAGAUCAGAAUAUACAAAAAGUAGACACAGUACUCAAGCAUCCAAACCAUUUUUAUCAUCAGAGGAAAAUGAAGACGACGAAGAAAGCUCAUUUAGUUCUAAUGAAAGUAAAAGUUACCAAGGAUCUAGAGAUUACGAUGAUACUAAUAGUGUUAGUAGCUCACAACAAUAUGCUAGUAAACUACCAUCUAGAAUGGAAACUUCAUCUCAACAUAUGAGUCGAACAGAAAUUUCAGCUUCAGGAAGCAGAGUGGGAUUUGAAAAUAAAGCAAGUAUAGGUGCUUCAACAAUGAAAACAAAAUCAAAGAUUGG
rnacentral:lncRNA from 1 species